rnacentral:rRNA from 1 species
ACAGCAGCAGCCGCGGUAAUACAGAGGGUGCGAGCGUUAAUCGGAUUUACUGGGCGUAAAGCGUGCGUAGGCGGCUUUUUAAGUCGGAUGUGAAAUCCCUGAGCUUAACUUAGGAAUUGCAUUCGAUACUGGGAAGCUAGAGUAUGGGAGAGGAUGGUAGAAUUCCAGGUGUAGCGGUGAAAUGCGUAGAGAUCUGGAGGAAUACCGAUGGCGAAGGCAGCCAUCUGGCCUAACACUGACGCUGAGGUACGAAAGCAUGGGGAGCAAACAGGAUUAGAUACCCCUGUAGUCCCUGUCUCUUAUAC